rnacentral:rRNA from 1 species
AGCGCAGGCGGUUUGAUAAGUCUGAAGUAAAAGGCUGUGGCUUAACCAUAGUAUGCUUUGGAAACUGUCAAACUUGAGUGCAGAAGGGGAGAGCGGAAUUCCAUGUGUAGCGGUGAAAUGCGUAGAUAUAUGGAGGAACACCGGUGGCGAAAGCGGCUCUCUGGUCUGUAACUGACACUGAGGCUCGAAAGCGUGGGAGCAAACA